GGGCCCCUGUACUCCGCGAAGUCCUACGUUCCACGUAGGAUACUCCUCUCCCCGAGGGAGGCUAAGGUAGCGGUGGCGGGGGCUC
rnacentral:sRNA from 1 species